CACUGUGUUCACGGCUUAGAGGACCAGGAGAAGGGGCGGCAGAGCCACCUACUGCACGCUGGAGGCUGCAGCCUGCUGUACCGCGGCUGGCCUCGCUGCAGUGGGUGGUGGUGACGGAAACUGCAGCGGCUGGAGCGAAGGACAUGCACUGUCGUCACAACGGUGAUGAGCUGGAAAUUAAUUGCUGACAUUUGAAAACCACCAAACCAAUACAUAAGUCCCAGAGACAGAAUUUUGCUCUUGCCACCCAGGCUGAAGUGCAGUGGCACUCGGCUCAGUGCAACCUCUGCCUCCCAGAUUCAAGCAAUUCUCCUGCCUCAGUCUCCACAGUAGCUGGAACUACUGCCUCCUCCCAGAUUCAAGCAAUUCUCCUGCCUCAGUCUCCGCAGUAGCUGGAACUACAGGGAACAUGACAUCCUCUUCCCAGGGUACACCCACCUGCAGAGGGCCCAACCCCAUCACUGGAGCCACUGGAUUCUGAGCUGAGUUCCUGUUCUAGGCUUCAUUCUGCAUGACCCAUCUCAGCAGGAUGGCCAGGGACCUCAUCAUCUGUGGCACCAAGGAAUUCAGCUUCAUGUAGCUCUCAGAUGCCUACAGGAUCCAUGGAGCACGUAACACAUCCUGAUGCUGUUCUCAGCCUUCUAUGGCCUCUUGGUCACCGUUUCCUACCAUCUGAGCUGGCAGAGCAGUGACCCAUCUGUGUUCAUGUCCUUCAUUCAAUGCAGACUGUUUCCUAAGUUUUUACAUCAAAAUCUGAGUCAGCUGCUGAUCCUCUCCCCAAGAAGAUGAAAGAUUCUGUGGUGAGACAUUUGUGUUGUGUAACGUAGUAUAGGAGGGCCUCACCUUUUCAGCAGAGCUCGGGCUCUCAAUGGGCCUCUAGGCAGGUGGACAUGAGAAGGGCUAGGACAGAAAGACACCUCAGCAUGUCUCUGGCACACUGAACUAUUGAACUGCCUGCAAGGGUGCAGCCCUUCAGAGCAUCUUGAUGGCGGCCGUUAUGCACACAAGGCAUGGGUGCUUAGGUGGCCUUCAGUUGGUUGCAGUUUGCCAGGAUAGUCACAUGAAUCACAGUGAGUCAGUUUUGCCUAUUGCUGGCACCAAAUAGCAGGUGGGCUCUGCAUAAAUGAAAGCUUUUCAGAUAAACGUUUAGCCAACCUGCCUUCCUGAUGUGGUCCACAUAAAACUCUUCUCCAUAUCUUCUCCCUGCAGCUCCACACUGAGUUCAGAGCACUCUUUCAAAGUUGAUGUCUGCACUGCACAGCCAUUGCUUGGGGCACUUGGGCUUUAGACUUAGGGCUGGGUCACAGAGAAGUGGGUAACCACACUGGGGAGCACAGGAGAAGAAAAGGAAGAAGGAGAGGGAGACAGGAAGAAGAGAAUCCUACAGCUAUAAAAUAAUGAUGCCAUUUCCUUGUUCAUCAGGAAAAUGGCUCUGGACAGCUUCAAACUUUUUUCUUUUUUUUUUUUUUUUUUUUUGAGAUAGUCUUGCUCUGUUGCCAGGUGCCAGGCUGGAGUGCAGUGGUGCGAUCUCAGCUCACUGCAACCUCUGCCUCCUGGGUUCAAGCAAUUCUGCCUCAGCCUCCUGGGUAGGUGGGACCACAGGCGUGUGCCACCAUGCCCAGCUAAUAUUUUUGUUUUUUUAGUAGAGAUGGGGUUUCAUCAUGUUGGCCAAGAUGGUCUCAAUCUCUUGACCUUGUGAUCAGCCCACCUUGGCCUCCCAAAGUGCUGGGUUUAGAGGCUUGAGCCACCGCACCCGGCUCCUCAAGCACUCUUUUAGCAAAUGUAGUUUCUUUGGUAUCAACUUACAAACAUUCAUAUGUUAAAAGCCAAUGCUCCUUAAUUGUGUAAGCUCACAUACAUCUGAGUAUUGAACUUGGAGCUGUCUAAUGUCCUUGACUCACACUUUUCCUGGUUUUCUUAGGAAUAAGAGAUAAAAGGAAAAGGGAAUAAUCUAUUGAUCCAACCAGGACUGUGUCUCAUUUGUCCUGAUAUCCACAGAGCCAGUGCAUGGUGUUCUAGUGGGUGCUCAGUACAGUUCAUGGAAUUUAGACGAGUUUAAUUGCAGUCUGCCAUUUCAAGGCAAUGUAUGGACUCACAGCCAACAUGAAAGCCUUUAAAAGAAAUUCAUACUCAGCUUUUGUGCCUUUAAAUGUGGUCACAAUUCAAGCUAAUGUAUAAAGGCUUUUUUUCCACCAUAAGGGAAUCAAAGGACAAAUCACUUAAUAUCAGUAAGGGCAUAGUUCAUGAAUUUUAAGAGCAGAGAUACAUUUAAAAGCAAGUUAAAAGUCAAAGCAGUUGGCCCUGAUGAGAUGGCAGCCCCCAAAAAAUAAAUAUUUGACAUAAGCCUCGCAUCCUCAACCUGACUGCUAAUAUUUAUACCUGGAGACUUACAGGGAGAAGGUCAAACUAACAUUCCCACAAUACUUUUUGUAAAAGCUGUAGGGUAGCCCAGAGUCUACCCAAAAGUCUCCCCAUGAGUAUGUGAAAAACUAUGCCCUUCUGUCUUCCUCGAUUUCAUGACUAAUGAAGAUGCAUCUCUACUUUCUGAUUUAUUGUAGCUUUUUAAAAACUUUUAACCUACACAUGGAAGUAAGGAACCAGCAGAAACAAGUCUAUAACUACUUCAGUUGUUGGAGGUAUCAGACACAGAUUUUAAAACAACUAUUCUUAUUCUUGAAGUAAAAGGCAAAUUUUAAAAUUUAUAGGCCAUAGAAAAUAUUUAAAACAAUCCAGCAGGUUUGAAAGCCAAAUAGAAUUUUUGAAACAAGAAGUAACAAGUGAAUCAAUUGAAUUCUACACCACCACACCACCCCACACAUGGGAGAUUAGAUACAUCUGAAGAGAGAAUUAGUAAACUGAAAAAUAGAGAAGAAAAUAUUCAGAACAUAACAUCAAUUGACAAAAAAAAAUCAAGAAAUAUGAAAGAGAAAUGAAGGAUAGAUUGAGAAGAUUUAAAAUAUAUCUAAUCAGAAUUCCUAGAAAGGCUGAAGCAUAAUUAAUACUUGGUGAGAUAAUAUCUCAAAGUUUACCAGAAUUGAUAAAAGAUACUUAUCUUGAGAUUCAGGAAUUUCAGUGAAUCACAAGUAGGGUAAAUUGAAGAAGAAAGAAUCCACACCAGCCAAGCCAUAGAAACUGCAGCAUGCCAAGCACAUAUACCAACUUAAAGCAAGUAAACAGAAUGAACAGAUUACAUUCAAAUGAAUGACUGCAAGCUCCCUUAUUGAGAGCCAUCAUGGAAGCCAGAAGAUAGUUGUUUGAUGUACUUAAUGAUGUGUAAAGAAAGUAACUACCAAGCUAGAACUUUACUCCUGCUGAAAGUAUCCUUUAAGGAUAAAGGCAAAAUAAAGUUUAGAAAAAGAAAUGCUCAGAAAACCCUCAUUACAUGUAAUCUGAAGGUAUUUUCAGUAGAAAGUGGCCUUGUGGUAAAAGUAGUUUGAGGAGAAAAGACAAAAAGGAAAAAAAAAAUGAUCUUGGCUGGAAGGUCUGAUUUGCAAGUGAACAAAAAAAAAUGGCAGGUACAUUGGCAAAUCUGAAUAAAUAUUAGCUGCAUAAAACCAUGAUAAAGCUAUAUAGUUGGCUUUAAAAUGUAGAGUAGCUGGGCAUGGUGGCACGUGCCUGUGGUUUCAGCUACUUGGGAAACUGAGGCAGAAGAAUCGCUUGAACCCAGGUGGCGGAGGUUGCAGUGAGCUGAGAUUGUGCCACUGCACUCCAGCCUGGUGACAGAGUAAGAGUCUGUCUCAAAAUAUGUGAAUAAAGUGGAAU